GAAAAAGAUGGAAUCUACAAGAAAAUUUUCUCUAACAAUGGUAUUCUUAUUAGCUUUUUUAAUCAUAGCAUCAAGUCUAAAACCGACAGAUAUUCGUAUGGAAUCACAAGGUAGGAGAAUGGCUCAUGGGGUCGUCCCACCAAGUUGUAAAUCAGAUGGAGAUUGUAAGAACUAUAAAUGUCCACCUUCAUUACCAUUUCCAUAUUGUGAUCAUGACAAGUGUGGCUGUGGUAACUGAUCUACACCAACGUCAACCAAUAAAAUCUCUAGUCCAAGACCAUCAUUUACCAACUAGGUAAUGGAUUAUACGGAAAAAUCAUCUUGUUUGGAUGGUAAUAAUUUAUAAAAUAUGAACUUGAAGAGGUUAUCAAAUCUUAUAUUGUAUUAUAAUCUUACAAAAAUGAAAUAAAAAUGUUGGCUACUUUUAAUUUUAA